GAUGAACGCUGGCGGCGUGCCUAAUACAUGCAAGUCGAGCGAACAGACGAGGAGCUUGCUCCUCUGACGUUAGCGGCGGACGGGUGAGUAACACGUGGAUAACCUACCUAUAAGACUGGGAUAACUUCGGGAAACCGGAGCUAAUACCGGAUAAUAUAUUGAACCGCAUGGUUCAAUAGUGAAAGACGGUUUUGCUGUCACUUAUAGAUGGAUCCGCGCCGCAUUAGCUAGUUGGUAAGGUAACGGCUUACCAAGGCGACGAUGCGUAGCCGACCUGAGAGGGGGGUAGGCAAAAUGGGAGAGGGACAGGGGACAGACCGCAGGGGGGAGGAGGCAGAAGGAAAACGGCAGAAGUGGGGGAAAGCAUGACGAAAAAGGCCGGAGUGGGUGAGAAAGGUGUUGGGAGCGAAAAAAUGGUUUAUGGGGAAAAAAAAAAUGUGAAAUGAAAAGGAACCGUAGGGACGGUAAUAAAUAAAAAAGCAACGGCUAACUACGUG
rnacentral:rRNA from 1 species